rnacentral:lncRNA from 1 species
CCUAAAUAACAAUCAGAUCUAAGCCUACAUAAUAUAACUCAUGUAGUAUAACAGAAAAAUAUGAACUAUGGUCCCAUAAAUCCCUCACCUUAGCCACUUGAUGACAAGUUUUCAUUUUCUCAACUUUGGACAGAUCCGUUGUACCGCUCGUUUUCCAUGUUCCCGAACUCCAGACCCUCUCUCCUUAUAGUUGAACAUAUAUCCACGAGUCCAUAAGGUUCCUGCCAAAUAUGAGCUCAGUCCGAGCUCAUUUUCCCAACCAAACAAGACGAUCCAUCAACAUACCACUCUGUUUCACAAUGUACCAAACCGGUUCAGAAAUACAUGAAUAACUAAUAAACUGACCGUCCACUUUUCGAUCACACCGUUGAACUCUGAGUCUGCAGUGUCCCCUACAUCUGUACAAAGUUUCAGUCAGAUCAGCAUACAAAUGAACCUCCCACGCUCUCUUGAAUUUGCUGCGACAGAACAGUUGAACCUCCCAGAUUUGAGCUGCUACUUCUGAUGCUUGCGUAGGAAGCAAGGCACACCACAACGAAGUCAUUACUCCAAUGACAGAGACGUCAGUUUCUAUGGCUUCCCUGCCACGUCCUCUAUUAAUAGAAACUCCAUAUGUGAUCUCCCAAACUCAUAUCUGAUCCGGAUCUCUCUUUCGAAACUCCAUCUCAAACUGUGUACUUUUUCUUCUUCUCCACCUUUGUUUCCUUCUUCUCUAGUCUUUUAUUCAAUUGGAUUUAAAUGAGAUUUUAGAUUUAAGUCUAUGAUCACUUUUGGUAAAGAAUCAGAUUAGUGUUUUGAAACCUGUGUGCGAAGAAGACGCGGCGGCGGAGGAAAACGUGAGGUUGACGAGAAGUGAGUCUCUGAGUCGGCUGAUGGCGCCGGAGUCAUCGCGGAGAGGUCAUCGUCAGAGUCGCCGGUUGAUGGAGUCGGAGUCGUCGCUGAUAGGUCAUCGUGGAGGAGAGAUCAGCAGAUGGAGUCGGAGUCGCCGAGGAGACACGAAAGAAAGAGAGAGAAUGCUUUGAGAGAGAGAGAGAGGGAUGAGAUAAUGACACGUGUUCACAAAACCCGUCUCUUGUGUGGCUUAAUUAAGCGACGUCUCCUCUUUAAUUAGCCAAUUUUUCUUUUUUUUUAAAUCUGAAUACAUUGAAUACGGGCUUUAAGAGCCCGCGAUAAUGGUGCUCUAACACCCUCUUGCAGUUGGAGCGCGGGGAUCUAACACGUCUAGACUGGAGUGAAAGUCGAUGAACAAAGAAGACGGUAAACCUUUAGUGAAUAUGUCUGCAUAUUGCGAUGUGGAAGGUAUAUGUACAACUCAAACCUCACCCUUUUGGACCUUAUCUCUCACAAAAAUGUUGGACCCAAACGUGUUUUGAAACCUGUGUGCGAAGAAGACGCGGCGGCGGAGGAAAACGUGAGGUUGACGAGAAGUGAGUCUCUGAGUCGGCUGAUGGCGCCGGAGUCAUCGCGGAGAGGUCAUCGUCAGAGUCGCCGGUUGAUGGAGUCGGAGUCGUCGCUGAUAGGUCAUCGUGGAGGAGAGAUCAGCAGAUGGAGUCGGAGUCGCCGAGGAGACACGAAAGAAAGAGAGAGAAUGCUUUGGUAGAGAGAGAGAGGGAUGAGAUAAUGACACGUGUUCACAAAACCCG